UACGAAAGGGGCUAGCGUUGUUCGGAUUUACUGGGCGUACAGGGAGCGUAGGCGGUUGGGUAAGCCCUCCGUGAAAUCUCCAGGCUUAACCUGGAAAGUGCAGAGAGGACUGCUCGGCUAGAGGAUGGGAGAGGAGCGCGGAAUUCCCGGUGUAGCGGUGAAAUGCGUAGAGAUCGGGAGGAAGGCCGGUGGCGAAGGCGGCGCUCUGGAACAUUUCUGACGCUGAGGCUCGAAAGCGUGGGGAGCAAACAGG
rnacentral:rRNA from 1 species